UUAGAUUUCAUUUUUUUAGAUUUCGUAAGGUACAAACUUAUAAAGGAAUAAACACACCAUUACAUGAAACCAUUACAGAAAGUUAACUUAAUCUUUGAUCAAUUCUAUGAACUUCUUUAGUCUAGCAAUAAGAAACAAUCUUAACAAUUUGAAUGCUAUAAAAAAAAGCUGUUUAGGCGGUUUUGUUUAGUUGUACAGAUUUUGACGACAAGGAAUGUCAACACCGUAUUUCCCCAAGAGAAUUUGAGACUUGGUGCAAAUAUGAUUUGGAGAAAGUUCAUGGUGAAAAUAUUUAUGUAGAAUAAUCAAACUAGGAAAUAAAACAAUUCACUCUAUGGACCCUAUGAGAGAACAGAUAAAUUCCAUCAAAAGGAGAAGUUUAAUGGAAUAGUUGUUACUUACAACAAAGAUAAGGUGUUUCAGAAAAGUUUGAAAUAUUAACAUUUCCACAUGCCAUACAAGCUGAAGGUAUAACAUUUGGAGUAUUCUGCUUUAAGUUAUACAAACGGAGAAGUAUUGGUGUGUGUCUUUCCACAUGAAGAAGUUAAUGCAUACAGAAAGAGAGAAAAAGGAGGUCACAAAAGUUGGCAGAAUAGUUUGUGUCGCAUUUGUGGAAGUGAAAUUGGUCCAAAAACUAGAAAAAAUCAAAAAAAGGUUAAACAGAUCAAAUGUGAUAUUUGCAUCCAAAUCGAUGGUACCGUAUGAGAUGCAUUGUUUUUAGAAAUGAAACUUUAUUUUGUUGUGAACAUAUUUAUAUAUAAAUGUAAUAAUAAAUAAAACUUUAAAAAUUGCA